rnacentral:tRNA from 1 species
GCUACCUAUAUGACUGAUGGUCGAAAGGCAAGGACACUUGACUCUCACCCAAAAGUCCCGGGUUCGAAUCCCGGCCGUGGCA